rnacentral:lncRNA from 1 species
UCGAGAGGAAACCUUCGUCCAGACAUCUUUAGCAGUAAACAUCGAGUUCAAUUCCAACAUCUGGGCCUGCAAUGAGUUUUCCAAGUUUUGGAAAGUCAAUGAAACCUCAUCGGCUAGCGAGGAGCCUCUCAUUCUCAUUGGUGGUACCCCUCAGAAACCAAAUAGCUGGUUUAAGAUUGAGAUUGCCGGAGAAGGAGCAGAAGCAAACACUUACAAGUUGACCACCUCAACCGGAACCGUUGGAACUAAGCCAGGGGUUUGGUUUGGUGCACCACAAUUGGUUGUCCCCAAUGAUGCGGCUAAGCCCUUACUCAUCAAAUUCAAAAAGGUGGAAGAUGUCACUACGGCGACUACUUCUACUACUCGGGUUGAGAAGUUAGGUCUAAGGAUGUUCCCAUUCUAAUAGCCAACUGGUAAAAAUCAUGUAAUAUAAUUAAUGCCUGAGACUCGUUCAUGGCCAAAAAUAACGGGUUGAGAUAAUACCCGCUUGCAUGUUCCUAUUUUCCAUAAAUAUAAUUUAAGUAUAUGUUUUAUUAAGACUAUGAAACGGGAUUGUCAAUGAGCCUGCUAAGUGCUAACAAUAAAAAGAAUAUGACAACUUUAAGUAUUGGAGAUGGUUUGAUCCGGUUAAUUCUGGUUAACUUGGUAUUGGUUUAAUGUCGAUUAUUAAGUUGUAUAUAUAAGCUUAAGAUUACAGUUUCAUUUUUAAUAAGUUUUGUAACAAACUCUGUUUUUUGACUGUUGAAUAAAGAUUCUCUUUGACUCCGAUUCUUCUUUGCUCGUGUUCAUCUUCUCCGAUUCACCGGAGUUAAUAUGGUAUCAGAGCCUAGAUUAUAAGCACAUAUGUAUGAAUUGAAAAGAGGAGUAAGCUUAUCAUAUGAAAUAGUAGUGGUAAUAGGAUGUGGAGUGGUUCUUUUAAGUGGUAUGGAAGAAGUAGAAGAUCUGUGACAAGAUUCUGUGUUUAUCUUGGUAAUUCACUGAUUUCUUGGAAAUCAAAGAAACAGAAUGUGGUUAGUAGAAGCAGUACUGAAGCAGAGUACAGGAGUCUUGCACAGGCUACUUGUGAGCUUAUUUGGUUGCAGCAAUUAUUGAAGGACUUACAUAUCUCGGUUACUUGUCCUGCAAAGUUAUUCUGCGACAACAAAUCGGCUCUUCAUUUGGCAAUGAAUCCAGUGUUCCAUGAGCGUACCAAACAUAUAGAGAUCGAUUGUCAUACAGUGAGGGAUCAAAUUAAAGCUGGAAAACUGAAGACAUUACAUGUUCCUACUGGCAAUCAACUUGCAGAUAUUCUAACCAAGCCUCUUCAUCCAGGACCAUUCCAUGGUUUGAUCAAGAAAAUGUCUCUGUCAAGUCUAUAUCUUCCAAACCAGACACUUAGAAGAUAAAGACUUGAGGGGGGUGUAUUGGAGAUGGUUUGAUCCGGUUAAUUCUGGUUAACUUGGUAUUGGUUUAAUGUCGAUUAUUAAGUUGUAUAUAUAAGCUUAAGAUUACAGUUUCAUUUUUAACAAGUUUUGUAACAAACUCUGUUUUUUGACUGUUGAAUAAAGAUUCUCUUUGACUCCGAUUCUUCUUUGCUCGUGUUCAUCUUCUCCGAUUCACCGGAGUUAAUAUUAAGAAAAUUAACUAAGAUAUAAAUUUCAUCAGAAUGAAUAUAUCUAUCAAAUAACAUUUAUCACAAGUAACGUACAAGUAUGAAUGUAUGAUGAGUUGACUGACUAAUAUUUAUGUUCUCCCUAUGAAAAGAUAGUGAAUUUGUAAUAAUAAUCCAAGAAAACGCUGCCAUUAUUUUUACAUUCAGCCAAUAAAGCAUAUAUCCCUUUUAUAAAAAAAAAACAAAAAAACAACGUAGAAGGUUGAUUUACAAAGUACGUCUCUCUCUCUCUCUCUCUCUCUCUCUCUCUCUCUCGUAAUUAUUUUUCUGUAUAUUUCAUACAUUACUGUUUAUUACAAUAUUAAUUCUGAUAUAUCUCAUUCUGGUCCUUAAUUAGCGUCUCCCAAAAUCAAUUUUUUGUUGAGAGAGAAAGAGAAAUUGAACUUUACCAUGGUUUCUUUACGUACAAGAUGCUGCGGUGAUGAGUUUGAUAACCAUGGAUAAUAUGAUAGGACGACUGGGACCUUUUUUUUAUUGGAAGGUUAUUACUUUUGAAUUAGUCCUCCAAUUCGAUUACAAACGGAGUUGCUUUGUUGUUAAUUAAUUACAGUCAUAGUUUAUGUUUACGUAGAAAUUAAACCCUAAACAAGAGUCUAUCGCUGCAGCUGCUAAGUAAAGCAUAUCUGUAUUAACUAUAUAUAUAGGGGACAUGUGUCUUGACUCUUGAUAUUGUAUUAAGUAUAAGUUAAAUUAAUUUAUGCAGAUUGUUCUGUAAAACAAGUUUUACGCUCUUAUUUUCUUCCACUUCUUGAUUCUUGUCACUUUCUGGUUAUAAAAAGGGAUAACUAAUUUUUUUCAGAUUUACUUUAUUUUGAAUUGCCGUUAGUCAUACAUUUAUUUUCUUGUGAUAACGUGGUGGAACCAUAUAUGGUUCAUGUUUUAAUUAAAUUGCUUGAAAUGAAUAAGAAAGAAAAGUACAGACAGAUAUAUACAGAGAUUGUUAAGAAUCAUUCGCACGUUGGUUCGAUCCCUAUCUCUCUGUUUGAAAUCUUGUCUUUUACCCAAUUUGAUAUUCCUUUCAUAUAUUAGUUAACAUAUUAUAUAUGGACUAUGGUGCAUGUUCCUUGUGCUGAAAAUCGAAGUUUGAAUCAUAACCAUAGAGUCUAAAUCGUAGUAGAAAGUUAGUUAACCAAGGAUCAGAUUGUGACGUGAGGAAAAAGCCAAUAAGCAUUUAUAAUGAUAAAUUUUGAGGUUCCUAUAAAUACCGAUACAGUAUGUGUUAUUUCUCCACAACUCAAGUCACUCAAACACACACAAAAAAAAAAAAACAAUCACAAUGAAGAAUCCUUCAGUAGUCUCUUUUCUGAUCACUCUCUUGUUUGCUGCAGCUGUCUGCAUCCAAGGAAGCGAAUCUGUGAAGGACACCGCCGGAAAUUAUCUUGAACCGAGUCAACAAGUCAAAAUCAUGUAAUUAGUAAAGCUUGAGACUCCUCCAUGGCCAAAAACAUGGGUUGAUAUAAUACCCGAACGCAUAUGUUCUUAUCUUCCAUAAAGUAAAAUCUUUAACGAAGAAAAAAAAAAGUCCUUCCAUAAAUACUAUAUAGUUAUGAGCCUGCUAACAAGAAAAAAAGAAUACAAAUUUAAAAAAAGAAUAAAUCAUAAAAGAAUGGAGGGGAUGAGAUUUUGUGAUGAAAAGAAUUAUAUUAACUCCUAUAGAAAUAGAGGUAUUGGUUACAUAGUUUAAUCGUAAGACGUACAUUUUCUAUCCUUAAUGAAUCGUAAAACAUUUUCUAUCCAGAUCUUUCUCUUCAAGCGUGUCCUUGUCCUCGAUCCUAAUUGCGACAAGUAUUCACCGAGCGGGAGCCUUUAUCCUUCGAUUAUCUUCCCGUGUGGGUUUAAUGUCCCCUGCUUUAGAGUUAUGUGGUCAGUGUGUUGUGACUUUUGUGCCUGCUAACUACUUUUCUUUUUCUAAUAAAAUGAAAUUGAGAAAGAAAAAAAAUGAAUCGUAAGACAUUUUUAUCGUUAAUACUAACGGAAAUGUAUCAAGGGUUUGUAAUUGGUUACAAAAAAUUGCUAGGAAAGCUUUGAAUCUUUUGAAGAUUGAGUUCAAAAGUCUGUACGUGUUAAUUAAUUAGGAUAUAGUCUUGUAGAUUAUGCAGAGUGUUAUACUAAAACUGAAUUUCCAUUUUAGGGAGUUUCUUUAGUAUUGAACUAUUGUCACUUAUUUCUUUUCUUGUAACAAAAAAAUCGUUGUGGAAAUCAUUUUGGUUCGUGUUUCAGUAACUUGUUUUAAAUUAACAAAAUUGUGGCCAGAAAGAAACAGAGAUGUUGAAAAUCAUUCAUACGUAUAAUUCACUCAUCCCUAUCUCUCUGUUUGAAAUGUUGUCUUCUUCCCUUGAAUUAUUUGAUCGUCUUUUUUUUUUUUUUGCUAUAUAUAUAUAUAUAUAUAUGUUAGUUAACAUGGACAUUGUGCCUGUUCCUCGUGCUAACAAAUCCAAGUUUGAAUCGAUUACCAUAGAGUCUAAAGUCUAACCCCUCUUUUCAACCCUCACUGUUGUAGAAAGUUAGAAAUCAAGGACCCAUCACGAGAAUGAUUAGAAUGUGACGUGCGGAAAAAGCCAAACAUUUAUAGCUGACAAAUUUAAGGUAUUAGGUUUUACUCAACGAAGAUGGGAAUUCGUUUGUCCUCUUUUUACUAUCAUGUCCGGUUUUAACCACAGAGGACUCCUAUAAAUACCGAUACGAAAUGUGUUUGCUCUCCACACCUCAACUCACUCAAACCCUAAGAAAACACAAAACAAUCACAAUGAAAAAACCUUCAGUGGUCUCUUUUCUCAUCACUCUCCUGUUGGCUGCAGCUGUCUGCAUCCACGGAGGCGAACCGGUGAAGGACAUUGUCGGAAAUUAUCUUAAAACCGAUCAACAAUACUUCAUCCAGCCGGCAAAUACCGACGGAGGUGGUCUUGUCCCAGCCCCCCCUACAAUAUUUCCUCUUUGCCCACUUGGCAUCGUCCAAACUCUCCAUCCGUAUCAACCUGGCGUACCGCCGGUUAGCUUUUCAAUGCCAUACGCGAACAUGGAAACUACUGUUUCUACAGAUGAUUAUGUAAAUAUCGAGUUCAAGUCCAACAUCUGGGCCUGCAAUAAGUUUUCCAAGUUUUGGAAAGUCAAUGAAACCUCAUCGGCUAGCGAGGAGCCUCUCAUUCUCGUUGGUGGUACACCGCAGGAACCAAAUAGCUGGUUUAAGAUUGACAUUGCCGGAGAAGGAGCGGGAGCAAACAGUUACAAGUUGACUAUAUUUAUAAUAUAUAUGGUUCAGUGAAUU